GGUCCUAUGGCGCAAUGGAUAACGCGUAUGACUACGGAUCAGAAGAUUCCAGGUUCGAAUCCUGGCAGGAUCG
rnacentral:tRNA from 1 species